rnacentral:rRNA from 1 species
CGUGAGCAAUCUACCUUGGAGUGGGGAAUAACGGCUGGAAACAGCCGCUAAUACCGCAUGAUGCGUCUGGGCCGCAUGGCUCUGGGCGCCAAAGAUUCAUCGCUCUGAGAUGAGCUCGCGUCUGAUUAGCUGGUUGGCGGGGUAACGGCCCACCAAGGCGACGAUCAGUAGCCGGCCUGAGAGGGUGAACGGCCACAUUGGGACUGAGACACGGCCCAAACUCCUACGGGAGGCAGCAG